rnacentral:tRNA from 1 species
UCCCUCAUAGCUCAGUUGGUAAAUCAUCUGCCUGCAAUGCAGGAGACUCAGGUUCAAUUCCUGGGUCGGGAA